rnacentral:rRNA from 1 species
AUUGAACGCUAGCGGGAUGCUUUACACAUGCAAGUCGAACGAGUAGCGGACGGGUGAGUAAUAUAACGGAACGAGCCCAGUAACGGGGGAUAACUCCUCGAAAGAGUGGCUAAUACCGCAUAAUAUUGGCGCGGCCGAUAUCGGAUUCGCUAGUUGGGGGGGUGAAGGCUCACCAAGGCAACGAUCCGUCGCGGGUUUGAGUGGACGACCCGCCAAACUGGGACUGAAAGGCGGACCUGCCGCCUACGGUACGCAGUAGUGGGGAAUUUUGGACGAGGGGGGAAACCCUGAUCCAGCCAGCCCGCGUGUAUGAGAAGGCCUUCGGGUUGUAAAGUACUUUUGGCAGAGGAGCGGUAUCUGCAGAAUAAGCACCGGCUAACUACGUGCCAGCCGCCGCGGUAAUAC